AGCUUUCCAUAGUGGAAUUAUUGCAGCCAGUGAGGUUUAUCUGAGGCGUGGUUAUUGCUAAUUGAAAUUAUAGAUGCUGUCCAAUUGUUUUAUAGUAUUUUACCCACACCUUUUUCAAAAGGACUUCCAGAAAAUAUUAGUCAGUCUGUUUAUUUCUGUUCCUCCUUUAUAUAGA
rnacentral:snRNA from 1 species